GCUGACUCUGCCUGCUACCUACUCAUUCUAUUGCUCACCGCCGGCGACGAAUCCCGCGCGGCGCCGGCCGCCGGCUCGCACGCCCUCCAACCCGUGGCGCAUGACCUCCCCGUACCAUCCGCUGGCACUACUCGCUUGCACGGCCGGCCCUCCUCCCUGCCACCACAGUCCCCUUCGCCGGGCCCGGCGUUCUCGCCGCUGACAUCGCCGCCCCUUUGCUCCAGUUUCAGGUGUCGAUGUAUUCAGAGUAGCCGGAACUCAUCCUUCCCAGACCUCCGCGCUUGCUGCUGCUGCUGCUGGCCUUGCUGUCGUCCCCUGAGCUCCAGCUUGCAGGCGGUAUGGUGUUACAGAAGAGUUGGAUCUUUCGGUGCAUCUCCAUGGCCAAUCUGAACCCUUGUUCUUUCAGUGCUCAGUUCUGAACCCUUGUUCUUUCAGUAAGUAUAUUAUUAAAAGGCUGUUUGGAAAGAAGAGGAUCAUCGAGAAGUGAUCGCGCA